AGAGUAAGUCACAGACUUCUGAACAAUACUGGUGAUUCAGAGGCAAGUGUCAGGGAACCACAAAACUGUGUAAAUGAUAACAUAGCUGGUAAGUGUUUCAAGAAUGAUUCUCAUAGUUGAUAAAAAAUAUAAACACACUUAAAAUUUAGUUGUUACUUAACAAAUGUGUAAAAAUUAAAAUACAUUCCUCAGACUUAUCAUCACUAAGAGCUUGGCAUUGUGUGAUUUCAUAUGGAAUGACCUAAUAUUCAUAGCUAAAAUACACAUAUAAAGCAAAUGUUGGCUCAAAAGAUGAUGGGAGGAACAUGUUUCAUAUUACAUUAGAAAAACUCUUCCAGAGUUCAGGUGUUGCUAUAGAAAUUUUGUAUAUGUUGACAAAGAAAUUCCUGUAUGGGGAUCCACACAAUGAAGGCUGCCCCAGUGGCCCCACCUACAUCAUGGAUCUAAACUUAAAUCAACCUGCACUUAGGGGAAAUGCCUUACUGAUUAGGAAAACUAACAUACACCAACCACAAUCCUCCGACUCAGCUUUAACUAGUUUAUCUACUCUAGGAAAAAGGACUUUCUAACCUUACCAGGAAAUCCCUAAACUUCUAGUCAGUCAUGCUCUGUUUCCACAUUGCUGGUUUGAAUGUGAAACUUGCUCUUGCCCAAAAUCCUUUUGGAAAAGUUCUCCAUUGUUUAUGAGGCCUUCAAUCCAUGGAUUGAUUUCUUCCCUUAAAUAAAGGGCAACAAACUCAUUGCUAAAUGUUAUUAUUUUUGUUAUUUGACAGUGUGUGAAGAAUUCAUUAGAAACAAUUCUUCAAGAUUAGAUAAAGUGCCAUUUUCCCUGCCCCCAAAAGAAAUAUACAUUGCAAAUAGACAUUUAUUACUUAAAAUUUUUAUGUUAAAAAUACAAUUUAUCAAAUAAAUCACAAAAAUACAUAUACCCUAAAAUUCUAAUAUUCUGUUCUGCAACUUAUUUCUAUUAGACAAGCAUAUGACCUAUUUUAGUGUUAUAUUUUAAUCAUUUGAAUCUUGAAAUGCUUUGCAGGGCUACUCCAAGUAUGUUUGUGGCCUAGUUACUUAUCAUAGAUUUUAUUUCUGGUUUAUGAACUGUUAAGAGGCUUAUAGCCAAAUAUUAAGCGGCUAAGUCAUUUAGUUCACUGCUAAGUUUACAGGACUUCCCUGUCAUGUUGUUUAGCAAGAUGUUCUCCAUGAAGGAAGCAGCGCAUAGAUUGACGUUGUAGUUCAAGCUUCUUAUCUCUCCAUGCAUCUGCACUCUGAGUAGAACUAUCUGUGUUACCUUUGCCUUUUUCCACUCCACUUACUUCAGUAGUGGCGUACUUCCCUUUGACAACUUGCAAGAAACUUAACUUCUACAUAGACUUCAUUCCUUAUUCUUUCUAGUAGAUUUCUCCUUUUCAAUAAGCUUUGAUAUAUGGUCUAUAGAGUAAAGUUUAGAAUUUAAAAGCACCAUUUCUACUUAGGGGCUCAUAGCUCCUUUUCAUGUGGUAUGAUAAUGAGACUUUGAUUUUAUUCAGUAUGCCAUUCAUGUUAGCUUAGCCACUACAUUUCUCAUAAUUUAUUUUUGAAAUCCACUAUUGAUAUAAAGAAGUACUGCUGUAGUACCCUAAAAUGAUCUUGAAAGCUUAAAAUAAUUUGUCUGCAGUUAAAUAAAAAUAAGAGACAUAUGGACUAAAUGAGUCUUCAAUACACUUUUAUGUGUAUAAAAGCGUAGGAGCAUUCUCUUGAAUCAGGGUCCUGCCAAAGCUGAAUGCAUUAAGGAAAGCUUGAUUUGUAGCAUGUUUCCGAAUUUUUAUAUUUAUUCUUGUCUUAAUGAAAAAGAAACCUGAUCUGUAAAACUACUAUAGGUAAUAUGCUUAAAUAAAUAUAUAUAUUAUGUGUGGAUAUAUAUAUAUAUACUUGAAGCAUUAGAUAAUAUGCACAGUAUUCCCUCUUUCAUUAUCAUAUUAUAACUGUAUAAAAGUACAAACACAUUAUACAUAUAUUAGAAAGUGCAUUUGUACAUUUAUUUACUUGCAUUCAAUUUUUUGUUAAGUAAAAGUAGUACAGACAUAACCUUGAAGUAUGUUCCUGUAUUAAAGUGUCAUUUGAAAAGUUCUACCAUAUAAUGGAUUGUUUGCAUCAUUUUCUAUAUCUGUAUUCUAGUAGGUGGAUGUUUUUACAGACAAAUUUCAAAAUUAGAAAAAGAUGAACAAAUCAGACUAUCUCAUUUCUAUAAAGUAAAGAAUUUGGGUUCUGUUGCUUUUAUUUUUGUAUUUUUACAAUUUAUUAUUAUUACUAUUAUUAUUUGCUUUUUAGGGCCUCACCCAGAGCAUAAGGAGGUUCCCAGGUUAGGGGUCCAAUUGGAGCUACAGCUGCUGGCCUACACCACAGCCACAGCAACACCGGAUCUGAGUAUGUCUGUGACCUACACCACAGCUCAUGUCAAUGCUGGAUCCUUAACCCACUGAGCAAGGCCAGGGAUCAAACCCACAACUUCACGGUUCCUAGUUGGAUUCAUUUCCACUGCAUCUCGAUGGGAACUCUUGCUUUUAUUUUACAUAAAUAUAGGACAGGGGAAUAAGUCAUUUCACUAAUUGAUUUUUUUAUCAAAUUCUCCAACUUAUUAUAGAAGAGAAUGAAUCCCAGUGUUAGACGGCUUGACUGUAGCAUCACUGUUUAUUGUGUACAUACUCACACACACAAACACACACACAUUCCAAUCAGUAAUCAUUCCCUAUCGUUGAGAACUUUUGUUCCUGUCUAAACAGUGGAUGCUAACACAAUGAUUUUUUUAUGGUUUAGAAGCUUGUAUUCCCAUUUACCCACAUAUAUUUACUUUUCUGUCAAGAACAGGCCCUAUUAUUUAGUAUAGCUUUUAAGAAAAUGGAGGCUAAGAAUUCCAAAAUGACAAUAAACUAUUUAAUUUUAGGUAAUUUUAUGACAUAUCUGGUUUUAACAUUUGUGGCUGCAAUAAAACAUAUGUUAGCUCCCUAAUAAAACCUGACUGAUGCUGUAUCUGUCACCUCUUUCUGCGUUGGGAAGUAGUGCACAAGUUGUUACCUAGAGAACAGUUGUUCCCGUCUCUUGUGCAGAUCCAUAUCACUCUCAAAUUUACAUUCCGAUAGAGAAGCAACAAAUGUUACUUAAAUCCCAUGAAGUGUGUUAAUUAUACCAAGCUUCAUGAAAUCAUAGGUGAGAGAGGCAAAAGGAAUUCUACAGCUGCAUCUUGGGUCUCUUGAGCUUCUCUUGUCAAAUCAAUGUCUUUGUCACUUAUGUGAUAACCUUAAAAUUGCUUUUUUCCCUUAAGUGGUAUUCCCCAAAUCUCAGUGAGAGGGAAAAGCUCACACAAAGCAGAUGUACUUCGGUGUUAUUUAUAUAAAUAACGUUAGUAUCUUUAGAGAUACAAGUCAAAAUUUAACUUGAAAGCUGGGUUGAACUAGUGUGUCUUACCAGUUUUACCUAAUUACAAAUAUUUUGUCUCAUUUUCUUUGUAUAGAGUCUGAAGGAUAGAUUAUGGGAAUUGGAAAUAACCUCAAAUCCUUUUCCAGUGAUUACAAAGGAAAGAAAUUCUUUGGAGCGUUGCCCCAUACACUCCCAUCAUUGGGCUUAAUAUGAAAGAAUUAGAGAAGGCCCCCUUCAUAUAUGCAUAGCACUGAAGUGUAGAAAUAUUUCAUGCCCAGUAUUUCUAGAUUAUAUAUAUUUAAAAACUGACAACUAUGUAUGAGUAGAGAGUAUUUAAUAUGAUUAUUAUUUCUUUCAUUUCAGAAAAAAAAGUGGAGAAAAGGCACUUAGUGAAGUGGAAUUUUUAAGCUGUACUAUUUCUUUUUUGUCGUUGUUUACACGGAUACACCCAGGAUACAGCAAUAUGGGAUUAAUAGUCUUGGGAUGAGUUUCCAGAAUUAGACAGUUGGCUUAGGUCUGAUUCCCUGCUCUAUUAUUUGCUACCUGUGAGAACUUGGGCAAAUUAAUAAACAUUUCUGUUUCUCAGACUCCUCACGUAUUAUUGAGAUGAUGAUAAUAAUUACCUCAUAUUAUUAUUAAGAGAAUUAAAACAUUAAUGGGUAAUAUGACCCAUCGACCAAGGCUUGGCACAUGGCAACCUCUACCAAAAUGUUAUCAAUUGCUACUAUAGGAAUCUUGAAGCAACAGUGGUCCCAUAUAUCAGGCAGUCAAAUGGAGGGCCUUCAAUGGAGAAUUCCUUACAGAGGAAAGCAUUUGUAUGCAAAAUAUUGAAUUUCAGUUCCCCACUAGGGGCCAUUCUCUAUCCUCAGAAAGCAGCAACUCUUAGAAAGUCACCCUGCAACUGGGAAAACCUCAACCCAUUGGAAAUCUGUAUCAUUUGUCAGACCCAUCUAGAGACAGAUCUAAUCCUUUUGGCUGAAAUAUAGCUUGUGGCAGUCUGCUGUCCUUAGUUUACCAAUAUUUGGAAGAUUGGUUUGGUUUGGCAAUCAAUGUAGUAGAGCCACCCAAGACCUUGAUGUGAUUGUGUUUCUCUGAAGCCCUAAUGUGGGUUACUGCAAAAGCAGAGAGUCUGUAAUUUCAUACAACUUGCCGAUUAACUGUCAUUGAGUUUAAUGUUCUAGAAGCCCAUCAUCUAUGCUUUUGAAGGAUUUUUUUGAAAUUUUAAUUGCUUGGAUUCAACUUUAAAAACCUCCAGUUUUUAUAUCUUCAUGCUAAAAUGAUCUUUUUUACAGUAAGAAAUCUAUGCACUUUAUAUUGUAUCCUCAUGGACUAGUCAGUUUCUUAACCCACUGAGCCACAGUGGAAACUCCCUGUAGUCCAUUCUAGAUGUCGCAAAUACUAAAACUAGGUUACUAUUCUAAUUUUGAAAUUGCAUGCAUAUAGUAUUAAUAAUUUUAAAUUUAUUAGUUCUAGAAGAUCUCAACACAGGAAGCUACAGUUAACAUCUUAAAGAAUAAAGUGAAUUAGAAUAAAGCGAUAAUUAAAUGACAAAUUCUUUUCUAAUAAUUUCCCUAGAACUUUCCAUUAUCUGUAGAAAAGAAACCUGAAUUUUAAAAGAGAUUUUUUUAAUCACAAUAACUCAAUUCCAAUGACAUUUUAUUAUGGAUACAUUUAAAUCAUAUAAUUUGAAUAAUUUAAAUCAAAACAAUUUAUUUUAUAAAAAGCUGGGACAUGUAUUUAUAAUGAGUGUGAGGAAGUAUCUUAAAAAUAUUUAAUAUUAGAGAACUUUCUUUUUUAAAUAAAAAUCUGAGUGUUAAAACAGAAGUUAGAAGGAAAAUAUAGGUUAUAAUCAACCAGAAUACUCCGAAUGAUCUUAAAUUGAAAAGAAACAGAAGAUAUGAUUCCCAAGAGGAAUGGAUAUAACUAGCUGUCUCUUAGAAACCAUCCACAGGUUCCACUUUCUGAUUAUGCUCCUUCUUUAUUUAUAUAAAUACAAAAUAUCUUGAUAGGAGUUCCUGUCAUGGCUCAGUGGUUAAUGAACCCAACUUGUAUCCAUGAGGAUACAGGUUCAAUCCCUGGCCAUGCUCAGGGGGUUAAGGAUCUGGCAUUGCCAUGAGCUUUGGUGUAGAUCACAGACAUGGCUUGGAUCUUGCAUUGCUGUGGCUGUGGCAUAGGCAAGCAGCUACAGCUCUGAUUUGACCCCUAGCCUGGGAACCUCCAUAUCCCUCAGGUGCAGCCUUAAAAAUACAAAAGGAAAAAAAAAAGAAGUCUUGAUAAAUUCCUAAACACAAAUUUGCCAAUAAGAAGUUACAUGAUUUGCAUAGCAUUUAGGCCAACAAUUCAUUCAUUCAAUAUUUAUUGAAAACUCUUAUACAGACAUGUUCUGUUAGUAUUUAAAAAUAGAAAGCCAUACAUAAGAUAGGCUAAAUGAAGUCACAGAUCACCAGAACACAGGACAGAAAGUCACACAAACAGAUGUGGCAUACGACACAAUGGCUACUCAAGAGCUAAGAGAAAACAGCAUACUAGUAAAUACAAAAAACAAAGGUACUUACAGUCCUAAGAAAAGAGCUCAAGAAAGGUUUCCCUUAUAUGGUAUGAUUUGAAUUGCAUCUGAAAAUUGAAUAGGAAUUAUGUACCAAAGAGAAGCAAUGCAGGUAGAUGGGACAUUUGAAAGUAACCUAAGAAAAACAUUGAGACGGCUAUUAUUUUAAAUUUUACCUGCGUAGUUUUUGUAAGGAAUUAAGAUCAGUUUUAUUGUGAGCUCCCAUUGUGGUCCAGCAGGUUAUAGAACCUAUUAGUAUACAUGAGGAUGUGGGUCUGAUCCCUGGCCUCACUGAGUGGGUUCAAGAUCUGGCAUUGCUGUGAGAUGUGGUAUAGGUCAGAGAUGGAGCUCAAAUCCCAUGUCCCUGUGGCUGUGGGUGGCAGCUGCAGCUCUGAUUCAACCUCUAGACUGGGAACUUCCAUAUAUCACAGGUGUGGCCCUAAGAAGAAAAAAAAAAAAAAAAAAAAAAAAAAG
rnacentral:lncRNA from 1 species